CAGAAUUUUCAUAUUAACAGGUUGACUGGAAAGAAUUGGCAGCCCACUUAAUUUGGGUGGAGAGCCCAAAUAGAAUCCGUUAUAAAAUCAGGCAACUCUAACUACAUACCAAGCUCAUAAAUCAAAUCAUAAUGAAGGGCUAAACACUAUUACUAUUAGGCAUGUCAUGUCCCUCCCUCUUUCAACGGGAUCACCAGACCUCUGCCUAUCAUACUCUAUUUGCUGAGUCCAUUCUCUGUUCACCACUCCAUUAAUUAGACUACAGCACAAAUCAAACUAUUUCCUCAUACUCCACUCAUAAAUGAUAUAACAUUUAAUGCAUCGUGCCCAAUUUGCAGAUUCAUACAUGCAUGCGAUGGAGCUAAAAUAACAAUGAAUCAAUUAACACAGGACACAAUGCGGCAGCUCCUGUUAUAAACUGCACAAGAAAAUUAUGACUCAAUUAAAUGUGCUGCCCACAAAUGCACGGAGAGAGAGACGUUACUUUAAUCCUUCUAUGGUUCCUUCAGAUUUCCAGACUAUAUCUUUUACCCCUGACGAGAAAGUCUUAUAAAACUUGUGAAACUCCAAUGUAUCACCACCAACUUUCCGGAGCUCCACCAUGUGCAAUGAUGGCGCCACCUCGAACACCUCAGUGGCAACUGAGAGCUGACCCUUCCUCCCAUUUUUGUCACCUUUCAACUUCAUCUUGUAGUUUCGCUUGUCAACAUUAAAGCCUAGAGGCUUAGCAGCUUCCUCAAUUUUACACAUAAUUUCAUUUGCGGGGCUAUGGGAAGCAAAACGAGUUUCUCGCUUAACAAGACCCGCCUGCUUCGCGAACAAAUUUUCGAGGCUAAAGCCCUGGGUUUUAGAAAUAAGCUCAAAAGCAUUCAUUGAUACAGGUUUCUCUUUCCUUUCUGUAACUAGAUGUUCCUUUGAGUCAUUAAAAGCAGC
rnacentral:misc_RNA from 1 species